AUGGGUUUAACAUCAGUAGGUGGAUUAACAGCGAUGCGUGUAACAUCAGUAGGUGGAUUAACAGCGAUAGGUUUAACAUUAGGUGGAUUAACAGCGAUGGGCUUAACAUCAGUAGGUGGAUUAACAGCGAUGGGUUUAACAUCAGUAGGUGGAAUAACAGCGAUGGGUUUAACAUCAGUAGGUGGAUCAACAGCGAUGGGUUUAACAUCAGUAGGUGGAUUAACAGCGAUGCGUGUAACAUC
rnacentral:lncRNA from 1 species